rnacentral:rRNA from 1 species
UACAGAGGGUGCAAGCGUUAAUCGGAAUUACUGGGCGUAAAGCGUGCGUAGACGGUUAUGUAAGUCAGAUGUGAAAGCCCCGGGCUCAACCUGGGAAUUGCAUUUGAGACUGCAUAGCUAGGGUGAGGAAGAGGGAAGCGGAAUUUCCGGUGUAGCGGUGAAAUGCGUAGAUAUCGGAAGGAACACCAGUGGCGAAAGCGGCUUCCUGGUCCAGCACCGACGUUCAGGCACGAAAGCGUGGGGAGCAAACAGG